rnacentral:rRNA from 1 species
UACGAAGGGGGCUAGCGUUGCUCGGAAUCACUGGGCGUAAAGGGUGCGUAGGCGGGUCUUUAAGUCAGGGGGUGAAAUCCUGGAGCUCAACUCCAGAACUGCCUUUGAUACUGAGGAUCUUGAGUUCGGGAGAGGUGAGUGGAACUGCGAGUGUAGAGGUGAAAUUCGUAGAUAUCAGGAAGAACACCCGUGGCGAAAGCGGCUCUCUGGAACGGUACUGACGCUGAGACGCGAAAGCGUGGGGAGCGAACAGG